rnacentral:rRNA from 1 species
UACGAAGGGUGCAAGCGUUACUCGGAAUUACUGGGCGUAAAGCGUGCGUAGGUGGUGAGUUAAGUCUGUCGUGAAAGCCCCGGGCUCAACCUGGGAAUGGCGAUGGAUACUGGCUCGCUAGAGUGCGGUAGAGGAGAGUGGAAUUCCCGGUGUAGCAGUGAAAUGCGUAGAGAUCGGGAGGAAGACCAGUGGCGAAGGCGGGUCUCUGGACAGUUCCUGACGCUGAGGCGCGAAGGCCAGGGGAGCAAACGGG